AGCUGUGGCUGCAGUUUCUUUUUCUCUCAUUUUCGUCUUUCUCCUUUGCUCCAACUUGACAAGGUCCAUUGUUCUUGACUCGAACGCAACACAGCACGCGGGAACAAAUGGCGAUAGCUCAUGAAAAGACAAGCACAACCGAUUUCAUGGGUGCUCGUUUCACUUUUAAACGUAGCAGCGCAGUAACUGCUACCAUCGUGAUCGCGUACUUGUGAAUGUGCGAACGACUUGAAACAUAGUCUUACUGUGUGAUAAAGUUUACCGGAAAUAUUGCCAAUGUUAUGCAAGAUCACCGUAGUCGGGAAUAGGGGACAAGUUCUGCAAGUGUUAGUGCCAUGACAAUUCCCCUCCUUCUCAUAACCCGCAAUAACAAGGCCUCCUAGAUCUGUUUUGGCUACUCAGCGGCAACCUUCGUUGGUGUGCCUUUCCUAGCAGCAUUGAAGCCAUCAUUCAGCCCGAAAUAGUCGGCGUAUAGUAAUAUUAAGCGGUGAUGCGAACCUAGUCAGCGACGAGGAAGAAUCACAGCUGAGCAAGAGUACCUCAAGCUGAAGAUGCACUUCUAGCAAAUGAUGGUGCAGUCAGUAUUCAUAUAUUCGAAGUUAUCUUUCCUGGUUAUGUAAUGCCCUAUCCUAAGCGUGGAUAGAAUUCUGUGCGCUGAAAUAGCGAGCCACUUAAGGCUCAUUCAAACUAGGCCAACACGACAACAAUUUUGGUCUGGUUGGCGACAGCAUUUUCCUUCCUUUAAACCGUUGACCACUGCGCUUACCGUCCUGUAAACUGCUGCGUUGGCCAGGCGUUUACCG